rnacentral:rRNA from 1 species
GCCUACGCCUAGGGCUGACUGGCACUUUGGGGAAUCUGAGAGAGAAUAUGUAAUUUUACCAAAAUAAAGUUUUAAGUACGUAUUAAUAAUGAUAAUAUGUAUAAAAGUCUUG